GCAGAGGCCCAGGACCGUGCAGAGAGAUUAGCAUGACUGAGAUUGUCUUGGACUUCUGCAGUCUUCAGAGCUGUGGCUGACUGCUCCCUGGCAUCCACACCCUCCUCCUUCUCCAACAGAAAGGCCAGCAUUGUUUCUAAACACUGAGACAAGCAGAACAGAAUCUCCAGGCGGAGAAGGAGGGCAAGCGACCUCGGGUCUUAAUAUGUAGCCCAGACCUGGAACUUGAUAGCUCACAGUGUUAAAAUGACAUGCCUUCCUCAUCUUGAAAAUAUCACCAACCAAGACGGUGGCCAUGUCACAUGGCUAUUGCCAUUUUGAUGAGAGGACCAGGCUGGAUUUAGCACCCAGCACUCACUGGAUGUGGUUCCUGGGAAUGUAAUGCCUUCUUCUGGCCUCCGUGGGUACUGGACAGACAUGUGAUACACGUUUGGUGAAGCUCAGAAGUACGGGUUGUCGCUGCCUUUCCCAAAGUCUUAGGAUAUACCUGCUUUUUCGGACUGGGUGUCCAGACCGCUUUGGGGCUGAAGAGAUGGCUCAG